UGCCUAGACAAUUCAGCUUUGAACACAGGC
rnacentral:piRNA from 1 species